AAUGAACGCUGGCGGCGUGCUUUACACAUGCAAGUCGAGCGAGGCCGGGUAGCAAUACCCGAGUCGAGCGGCGCACGGGUGAGUAACGCGUGGACGACCUGCCUGAGGGUGGGGGAUAACCCGGGGAAACUCGGGCUAAUACCGCAUAAAACCGAGAGGUCAAAGGGGGCCGCAAGGCUCUCGCCUGCAGAGGGGUCCGCGUCCGAUUAGCUAGUUGGCAGGGUAAUGGCCUACCAAGGCGACGAUCGGUAGCCGGCCUGAGAGGGUGAUCGGCCACACUGGAACUGAGACACGGUCCAGACUCCUACGGGAGGCAGCAGUGGGGAAUUUUGCGCAAUGGGCGAAAGCCUGACGCAGCAACGCCGCGUGGAGGAUGAAGGUCUUCGGAUUGUAAACUCCUGUCAGUGGGGAAAAAGGGGAACGUGCUCAUACCACGUUUCAUUGAUUGUACCCGCAGAGGAAGCCCCGGCUAACUCUGUGCCAGCAGCCGCCGUAAGAC
rnacentral:rRNA from 1 species